rnacentral:rRNA from 1 species
ACAGCUUAGACUUCGGUCUUUGCAAUUGCUUGGGUGUCGAAAGGCGCCCAAUCUUUAAAACUUUUAUAUUUGUUCUGAAACAAUGAAAAUUUAAAACUUUCAACAACGGAUCUCUUGGUUCUCGUAUCGAUGAAGAACGCAGCAAAGCGCGAUAGGUAAUGCGAAUUGCAGACGUGAGUCAUUGAAUUUUUGAACGCAUAUUGCGCUAUUAGUUUGUCUAAUAGCAUGCUUGUUGGAGUGAUAAUCUUCCUCUCAACCAUUUUUGGUAUGAGGUCUUGCUCCUUUUAGGAGUUAAAAUCAUGGAAGUGCACACGUUAAUUAACUCUGUGCAGUUAUACACUUUUCAUCCUCCAAUCAAGCAAGGUUACCCGCUGAACUUAAGCAUAUCAAUAGCGGAGGAAAAGAUCAUUUCUGAAGGCUUUUUGCCAAAACCACUGUGAACAGCUUAGACUUCGGUCUUUGCAAUUGCUUGGGUGUCGAAAGGCGCCCAAUCUUUAAAACUUUUAUAUUUGUUCUGAAACAAUGAAAAUUUAAAACUUUCAACAACGGAUCUCUUGGUUCU